rnacentral:rRNA from 1 species
CCUUGACAUCCAGAGAACUUAGCAGAGAUGCUUUUGGUGCCUUCGGGAACUCUGAGACAGGUGCUGCAUGGCUGUCGUCAGCUCGUGUUGUGAAAUGUUGGGUUAAGUCCGCAACGAGCGCAACCCUUUAUCCUUUGUUGCCAGCGGUUCGGCCGGGAACUCAAAGGAGACUGCCGGUGAUAAACCGGAGGAAGGUGGGGAUGACGUCAAGUCAUCAUGGCCCUUACGGCCAGGGCUACACACGUGCUACAAUGGCGCAUACAAAGAGAAGCGACCUCGCGAGAGCAAGCGGACCUCAUAAAGUGCGUCGUAGUCCGGAUUGGAGUCUGCAACUCGACUCCAUGAAGUCGGAAUCGCUAGUAAUCGUAGAUCAGAAUGCUACGGUGAAUACGUUCCCGGGCCUUGUACACACCGCCCGUCACACCAUGGGAGUGGGUUGCAAAAGAAGUAGGUAGCUUAACCUUCGGGAGGGCGCUUACCACUUUGUGAUUCAUGACUGGGGUGAAGUCGUAACAAGGUAGGCGUAGACGU